AAAACGACUCUCGGCAACGGAUAUCUCGGCUCUCGCAUCGAUGAAGAACGUAGCGAAAUGCGAUACUUGGUGUGAAUUGCAGAAUCCCGUGAACCAUCGAGUCUUUGAACGCAAGUUGCGCCCCAAGCCUUUGGGCCGAGGGCACGUCUGCCUGGGUGUCACGCAUCGUAGCCCCU
rnacentral:rRNA from 1 species